CCUACGGGAGACAGCAGUGAGGAAUAUUGGUCAAUGGGCGUAAGCCUGAACCAGCCAAGUCGCGUGAGGGAUGAAGGUUCUAUGGAUUGUAAACCUCUUUUAUAAGGGAAUAAAGUGCGGGACGUGUCCCGUUUUGUAUGUACCUUAUGAAUAAGGCUCGGCUAACUCCGGGCCAGCAGCCGCGGUUAUACGGAGGAUCCGAGGGUUAUCCGGAUUUAUUGGGUUUAAAGGGUGCGUAGGCGGCCUUUUAAGUUAGCGGUGAAAGUCUGUGUCUCAACCAUAGAAUUGCCGUUGAAACUGGGAGGCUUGAGUGAGUGUGAGGCAGGCGGAAUGCGUGGUGUAGCGGUGAAAUGCUUAGAUAGCACGCAGAACCCCGAUUGCGAAGGCAGCCUGCC
rnacentral:rRNA from 1 species